rnacentral:tRNA from 1 species
GGGCCUAUAGCUUAGAUGGCAAAGCGACUGCCAAGUAAGCAGGAGAUUCACGAGUUCGAGUCUCGUUGGGAACU